UUCGCUCUCGGAAGCUUUUGUUCCCUGAACGCUUUCCAUAGAGUUCCGGAGGAUGGGAAUGAAAAUGGCGGCCUACCAGUCUCCGGCUCAGAGGAGCUGAGGGCUUGGGGCCCCACUCCUCAGUGCAUCCUCGGAGAAAAGCAGUCAAUCCCUCCCAUCUCCCUGGUCUCUGGCUGCGCUCCGAGCUCACCCAGCCAAUGACUGAGCAUCUCUGUUUCUGCCACACGGCCCCGUUUGGAGUCUCAAAACCCAGCAGAUUCAUGCCUUGUGCUCCUGCGCUUCUCCUCCCAAAGGAGGAAGGGGAUGGAUUUUACUAUUGACUCCUGCCUCAAUGAAGAACAUUAAUGGUUUUACCCUCAUUCCAUCAAUACAAUGGAAACUCUGUCAAGAAAUGUUGGAGUCUCUUUGAACAAUCAGUCUCAUCACUCACCUCGCCCGGAGUCUCCAAAUCCAGCAGAUCCCUGCCACUCUUCUGGGGGGAUGUCCCAGAUCUGCUGCUUGUGGGGUCCCUGCUCAAAGAGCAGUUGCCUGACUGUGCCACGGAUCACAGUUUAAG